UUUUAUUCCUGCGUUUAGUAUAUCUAUUUUACGUUUUGUCUACCUGCUAAUUCAAUAUUGACUGCAUGUUUUGGUUAUCAGUGUGUGAAUUUUAUUUGCAUGUACUUCAAUUAUUUGUUCUAUUUAUUACUUAUGUGCUUACAUGCCAUUGACAAGUGCUCAAGUUUGAAUUGUUUUGUUAGAUGUUUUAGUGUAUUUAAGUAGCUUUAAUAUCCCAAAUUGAGUUUACCUGGCGACACGUACUUAAAUACACUAAAACAUCUAACAAAACAAAUCAAAACUUGAAAUAGAACAAAUAAUUGUAGUUACUAUCACUACAAAUUACCACUCCAGCUAUAGAUAUGUAUACAUUGCCAAACACAAAAUAACUUUUGUAUAGUAAAUAUUACCAAUUACUUAUUUGGUUCGUUUAUAGUCAUAUAGUUUCUUUAAGGCAAAAUUGGCCUUUGGUAAUUUUGGCUGUUAUGUUAAGUAGAUACUCUAUCUUGAAUGUAUAAUGCGUUUGGCCUCACAAACUAUUGAGCAAGCGGUUGUUCGUGAACAUUAAAGUGAUUCAUUUUUAUUGGUAACAAAAGUUUUCAUUUCUAUCACCAAACUGGUGCCGCUACUAGUAUAAUCCACCCCGUAGACAGUGUUCAAUACUCAAAUAUAAAUGAUGCUUUAUUAAAUUAUUUGUAAAUUCUGAUCCUAAGGUUAGAUCUAUUCAAAUUUGAAAAUAACACGAUUUUGAUCUGUAGAGAAUUCAAUGUAGUAUAAUCAUAUACUGGUUUGUCCUGGGCGUAUCUAAUGAAAAUGAUCUUGGAAAACAGUGUUGUGUGCAUCAAUUGACAUCAUACUUUUUAGAUACAAUAUAUAACUAGUGAGGUGGUUUUCUGCAAAUGGAAAAUGAAUAAUUAUGUUUCUAAUUGAAAACAACUUUCUCACUAUAUAUAAUCAUUUGACACUAUCAACCUCUUGUUCUAGCAGAGUUAUUGCUCUCCGAAAAAGACUGUUUAAGGAUGCAAAUAUUCGUCUCUUAAAAAUGUAAGUCCACCAGAAUCUGUACAUUGGAGAGCAAGCAUCAAUUUAUAUAUGGUUGGUUUUAUUUUGCUGGAUUGUUUCCAUUUCUUCAAAAUGUCAUAUGUCUGACUAUACAUGUCCUUAAAGUGGUUGUGCAUGGUUUCCUCGAUACUAUUAAAACUGAGUCCUAACUCAAUACCAAGCUGUAUGACACAGUUUCCUAUGUGUUUCGGAAGUCUGUUUAGAACUUCAUCAUCUGGAAUCUCUUGUAACCGACUGUCUGCAAUGUCUGAAAUGCCAGUU
rnacentral:lncRNA from 1 species